AUGGGGUGUUCGUCGGGUGCCAGUUUCAUUGGCCACCAGUCCUGUCUGGUGCCAGUUUCUUUGGCCACCAGUCCCGUCGGGUGCCGGUUGUGGCUGCCACCUGUUUCAUCGGGCUGGUGUCAUCCGCUACCAGUCUCGUCAGGGGGUGGGGGGGGGGGGCCGGUUUCAUCGGGCACCAGUUGCACCGGGUGCUGGUUGCGGCCAUCACCAGCUUCGCCAGGCUGGUGUUGUGUUCUACCGAUCGCGUCGGGAGGGGCUGGUUUCGUCGGCCACCAGCUUCGUCGGGCUGGUGUCUUCUGCUACCGGUUUCGUCGGGAGGCGGUUUCAUCAGGUGCCGGUUCAUCAGCCGACAGUUUCGUCGGGCUGGUGUCACCUGGUACCAGUUUCAUCCGCUGCCAGUUUCCUCGGGCCAGUGUCUUCAGCGGCCAGUUUCAUCGGGGCCAGGUUGGCUCGUGGCAAGUUCGUCUGGAUCCCGAUUGGACUCUGGUUCAUCGUCAUCUCAAGAGGGGGGAUGGGAAAGCGUAGUAGGGUUCCUGAGGUGCACGGUGUGGGAGCACCGGUGGCUCGUCGGCGCUGCCUUGCCCCAAGAGGGCACAAGGCGGCUGUGGCAUGGCUUGCCACACUGCUACUCCUAGUCUCUCUGCCACGCUACAAGGGGCUUGUUUUGAAGUUUGCCCUGAAGACCAGUCGCAUCUGGAAUUUCCUGCGGGCCUCAAGGUUCCUGUCCAGGUUUGACGCGACAGCAGGGUCCAUUGCAGUGUUCCGGCCCAGGAGCAUCCUUUCAUCUUCAAGGUCCCACAAAACAGGAGAAAAGAUCACAUUUGGCUGCAGCAGUUAACCAGAAGCACGUCAGAUCUUCCAGGGAUGUGGUUGCUGUCUUCCAGAGCGAGGUCUCCAGAGGAGGCAAGAGGUUCCAGGACAAGACGAAGACCGUUCCGAAGACACUGCUGCGGUUCACUAAACCGGCAUCAGUGAGUAACGUCAACAGAAAGGUAAUAUGGAUUGUUUGUCGAUGUGCCAAGAGUGUCGUCAUCCGAUGGCCUGCAUCUGCAGCAGUGAGUUCCACAGACUUUUCCAAAGAAGUGUCUCACCUGCAGUGCCAAGUCAGCAAAAUGGUGAGAAGGUUGCAGGAUCAGAUGCAUUUCGACCAGUCGUUGAUGGGAUACAAAGUUGUGAUCUGGACAGAUUUAAUUGGGACAAUGCAGCUUUGCCUUCCCUGUAAAUUAUGUUGUAUAUAGAAGUUGUACAUAAAAUCUGUACAUACAUCAUGUACAUGUGCUUGUAACAAAAUAAAAAAAAGCCUUGUGGUGAC